AACGACUCUCGGCAACGGAUAUCUCGGCUCUCGCAUCGAUGAAGAACGUAGCGAAAUGCGAUACUUGGUGUGAAUUGCAGAAUCCCGUGAACCAUCGAGUCUUUGAACGCAAGUUGCGCCCGAAGCCUCGGCUGAGGGCACGUCUGCCUGGGCGUCACAC
rnacentral:rRNA from 1 species